UACAGAGGGGGCAAGCGUUGUUCGGAAUUACUGGGCGUAAAGGGCGCGUAGGCGGCCUUCUAAGUCGAACGUGAAAUCCCUGGGCUCAACCCAGGAACUGCGUCCGAUACUGGGAGGCUUGAAUCCGGGAGAGGGAUGCGGAAUUCCAGGUGUAGCGGUGAAAUGCGUAGAUAUCUGGAGGAACACCGGUGGCGAAGGCGGCAUCCUGGACCAAUACUGACGCUGAGGAGCGAAAGCCAGGGGAGCAAACGGG
rnacentral:rRNA from 1 species